GCAUGAAUGGUGUAACGGGAAGCACUCUUGGAGGAGGAAGUGGUUGGAUUCCACUUGAAAAUAGUGUACGCAGCAUUCUUCUGGGGAGAGCGGGUUCAAGUCCCGCUUCAUGCC
rnacentral:tRNA from 1 species